rnacentral:siRNA from 1 species
UCUAACAGUCCUAGUAUGCAAUA